rnacentral:tRNA from 1 species
GGAGAGGUAUCGAAGUGGUCAUAACGAGGCGGUCUUGAAAACUGUUUGUCCGCAAGGGCGCGUGGGUUCGAAUCCCACCCUCUCCGC